rnacentral:rRNA from 1 species
CAGCAGCCGCGGUAAAACAGAGGGUGCAAGCGUUAAUCGGAUUUACUGGGCGUAAAGGGCGCGUAGGUGGUUAUUUAAGUGAGAUGUGAAAGCCCCGGGCUUAACCUGGGAACUGCAUCUUAUACUGGGUAACUGGAGUGCAGUAGAGGGUAGUGGAAUUUCCGGUGUAGCGGUGAAACGCGUAGAUAUCGGAAGGAACACCAGUGGCGAAGGCGGCUACCUGGACUGAGACUGACACUGAGGCGCGAGAGCGUGGGGAGCAAACAGGAUUAGAUACCUCAGUAGUCCCUGUCUCUUAUAC